UACGUAGGGAGCAAGCGUUGUCCGGAAUCAUUGGGCGUAAAGCGCGCGUAGGUGGCCCCAUAAGUCCGCUGUGAAAGUCAAAGGCUCAACCUUUGAAAGCCGGUGGAUACUGUGGGACUAGAGUACGGAAGAGGCGAGUGGAAUUCCUGGUGUAGCGGUGGAAUGCGCAGAUAUCAGGAGGAACACCAAUAGCGAAGGCAGCUCGCUGGGACGUUACUGACACUGAGGCGCGAAAGCGUGGAGAGCGAACAGG
rnacentral:rRNA from 1 species